GAUGAACGCUGGCGGCGUGCCUAAUACAUGCAAGUCGAGCGAACGGACGAGAAGCUUGCUUCUCUGAUGUUAGCGGCGGACGGGUGAGUAACACGUGGAUAACCUACCUAUAAGACUGGGAUAACUUCGGGAAACCGGAGCUAAUACCGGAUGAUAUUUUGAACCGCAUGGUUCAAAAGUGAAAGACGGUCUUGCUGUCACUUAUAGAUGGAUCCGCGCUGCAUUAGCUAGUUGGUAAGGUAACGGCUUACCAAGGCAACGAUGCAUAGCCGACCUGAGAGGGUGAUCGGCCACACGGGAACUGAGACACGGUCCAGACUCCUACGGGAGGCAGCAGUAGGGAAUCUUCCGCAAUGGGCGAAAGCCUGACGGAGCAACGCCGCGUGAGUGAUGAAGGUCUUCGGAUCGUAAAACUCUGUUAUUAGGUAAGAACAUAUGUGUAAGUAACUGUGCACAUCUUGACGGUACCUAAUCAGAAAGCCACGGCUAACUACGUG
rnacentral:rRNA from 1 species